ensembl:lncRNA
CUGAGCUCAAACGAUCCGCCAGCCUAAGCCUCCCAGCAACUUGGAUUACAGGCGCACGCCACUGCGCCCGGCGAGAAACGAGAGGAUUUUAAAGGCAUUUGAAGUUAAAUUCGUGACGUCACACGGCUUCUACAGUGGCCUCUUGUGGAAUCGCAGCGGUGUUGACAUUCCGCGCGCCUCUGGCUCUGGCACCGGUUUAAACAUGUCCUAUGGUAGCACAUCCGUUUCUGAAAUCUUGUCCAGUUAUUGUAGGUGACUCUUCAGUAAGAUAUGUAAAAAUAACGCUUACAAUUUGUCUUUUCCCAAUAGCGCUGAUAAUUACUUUAUUGGUGAACAAUUUACUUAUUUACUUACAAUUUACUUGACUUAAUAUGACUGUGACACGGUUUCUAUGUUGUUGUCCUAGCUUACCUUAACGAGUAACUUUAUUUGGGAAUAGUCUUGGUAAGUGGAGUGUGGCAAUAUAUUUUGCAUGAUGCUUUUUUUUUUUUUUUUUUUUUUUUUUUUUUUUUGCAUGAAUACUGAUGGUAUACUCCCUGUUCACCCAUGACUGCAUGGCCACACGUGUACCAACAAUGAUGAGACGGCCUACAGGGAGGAGGUGAGGGCCCUGGCGGAGUGGUGCCAUGAAAAUAACCUCUCCCUCAACAUCAACAAAACAAAGAAGCUAAUCGUGGACUACAGGAGACAGCAAAGGGAGCACGCCCGCCUCCAGCCACAUCGACAGGGCCGCAGUGGAGAAGGAUCUGAGCCCUAGGACCAUGCCUCAGGACUACCUGGCAUGAUGACUCCUUGCUGUUCCCAGUCCACCUGGCCGUGCUGCUGCUCCAGUUUCAACUGUCCUGCCUGCGGCUAUGGAACCCUGACCUGUUCACUGUGAUUAUUAUUAUUUGACCAUGCUGGUCAUUUAUGAACAUUUGAACAUCUUGGCCAUGUUCUGUUAUAAUCUCCACCCGGCCCAGCCAGAAGAGGACUGGCCACCCCUCAUAGCCUGGUUCCUCUCUAGGUUUCUUCCUAGGUUUUGGCCUUUCUAGGUAGUUUUUCCUAGCCACCGUGCUUCUACACCUGCAUUGCUUGCUGUUUGGGGUUUUAGACUGGGUUUUUGUACAGCACUUUUUGUACAGCUGAUGUAAGAAGGGCUUUAUAAAUACAUUUGCUUUAAAUGGUGGACUAUUCUUACUAGGGAGAGCCAAUAUGGCCAAAACAUAGUAUUAUCAAUCCAGUAUUUAUAUACAUCAUUGGGUACAUGUAUAUUUACAGACCACCAAAAUCAAUAUUUAUGAGUAAUUCUCCCCCCACCCACAACUUCUCACCUGAAUGCAUUUUUUAAAAACUUUGAAGUGGUUGGGAAAAGGCUGAAAUGUGGGUUGAGAGUUUCACCUUAAAGGUGAAUGCACUAAAAGUAAUUCUGGAUAAGAGCAUCUUUUAAAUGACUAUAAAAUGCCAUGUAAAUGUGAUUUAUUGUAUGCCUAUGAAAAAUGCAUCAUGCACUUUGUCUCACUAAACUAUGGAGCUAUUCCCCUCAGAGCCUGGUUCCUCUCUACCCAGUACAGCUAGUAGAGGACUGGUCACCCCUCAGAGCCUGGUUCCUCUCUAGGUUUCGUCCUAGGUUCCUGCCUUCCAGGGAGUUUUUUUUCUGUGCUUCAGUCUCUGUACGGUUCGCUCUGUUCUUCAGUCUCUGUACGGUUCGCUCUGUGCUUCAGUCUCUGUACGGUUCGCUCUGUGCUUCAGUCUCUGUACAGUUCGCUCUGUGCUUCAGUCUCUGUACGGUUCGCUCUGUGCUUCAGUCUCUGUACGGUUCGCUCUGUGCUUCAGUCUCUGUACGGUUCGCUCUGUGCUUCAGUCUCUGUACGGUUCGCUCUGUGCUUCAGUCUCUGUACGGUUUGCUCUGUUAAGCACCUUUUCUGUGACAACUGCUG